rnacentral:rRNA from 1 species
GGGAACUACGAGCCAAGCUUAAAACCCAAAGGACUUGACGGUACCCCAUAUCCCCCUAGAGGAGCCUGUCCUGUAAUCGAUAACCCCCGUUUAACCUCACCAUUUCUAGCAACUCAGCCUGUAUACCUCCGUCGUCAGCUUACCACGUGAGCGCUAGUGAGCUCAAUGUUUUUCCAACUAAACGUCAGGUCAAGGUGCAACACAUGAAGUGGGAAGAGAUGGGCUACACUUUCUAAUAUAGACCACACGGAAGACUAAUUAUGAAAUCUAGUCAGAAGGCGGAUUUAAAAGU